rnacentral:rRNA from 1 species
UAGGCCAUGCUAGUUGCACGAGUUCAGACUCGUAGCAUAUAGCUCAGUAACACGUGGCCAAACUACCCUACAGACCGCGAUAACCUCGGGAAACUGAGGCCAAUAGCGGAUAUAACUCUCAGACUGGAGUGUCGAGAGUUAGAAACGUUCCGGCGCUGUAGGAUGUGGCUGCGGCCGAUUAGGUAGAUGGUGGGGUAACGGCCCACCAUGCCGAUAAUCGGUACAGGUUGUGAGAGCAAGAGCCUGGAGACGGUAUCUGAGACAAGAUACCGGGCCCUACGGGGCGCAGCAGGCGCGAAACCUUUACACUGCACGACAGUGCGAUAGGGGGACUCCGAGUGUGAGGGCAUAUAGCCCUCGCUUUUCUGUACCGUAAGGUGGUACAGGAACAAGGACUGGGCAAGACCGGUGCCAGCCGCCGCGGUAAUACCGGCAGUCCGAGUGAUGGCCGAUAUUAUUGGGCCUAAAGCGUCCGUAGCUUGCUGUGUAAGUCCAUUGGGAAAUCGACCAGCUCAACUGGUCGGCGUCCGGUGGAAACUACACAGCUUGGGGCCGAGAGACUCAACGGGUACGUCCGGGGUAGGAGUGAAAUCCUGUAAUCCUGGACGGACCACCAAUGGGGAAACCACGUUGAGAGACCGGACCCGACAGUGAGGGACGAAAGCCAGGGUCUCGAACCGGAUUAGAUACCCGGGUAGUCCUGGCUGUAAACAAUGCUCGCUAGGUAUGUCACGCGCCAUGAGCACGUGA